rnacentral:rRNA from 1 species
AGAGUUUGAUCAUGGCUCAGGACGAACGCUGGCGGCGUGCCUAAUACAUGCAAGUAGAACGCUGAAGAGAGGAGCUUGCUCUUCUUGGAUGAGUUGCGAACGGGUGAGUAACGCGUAGGUAACCUGCCUUGUAGCGGGGGAUAACUAUUGGAAACGAUAGCUAAUACCGCAUAACAAUGGAUGACUCAUGUCAUUUAUUUGAAAGGGGCAAAUGCUCCACUACAAGAUGGACCUGCGUUGUAUUAGCUAGUAGGUGAGGUAACGGCUCACCUAGGCGACGAUACAUAGCCGACCUGAGAGGGUGAUCGGCCACACUGGGACUGAGACACGGCCCAGACUCCUACGGGAGGCAGCAGUAGGGAAUCUUCGGCAAUGGGGGCAACCCUGACCGAGCAACGCCGCGUGAGUGAAGAAGGUUUUCGGAUCGUAAAGCUCUGUUGUAAGUCAAGAACGAGUGUGAGAGUGGAAAGUUCACACUGUGACGGUAGCUUACCAGAAAGGGACGGCUAACUACGUGCCAGCAGCCGCGGUAAUACGUAGGUCCCGAGCGUUGUCCGGAUUUAUUGGGCGUAAAGCGAGCGCAGGCGGUUUGAUGAGUCUGAAGUUAAAGGCUGUGGCUCAACCAUAGUUCGCUUUGGAAACUGUCAAACUUGAGUGCAGAAGGGGAGAGUGGAAUUCCAUGUGUAGCGGUGAAAUGCGUAGAUAUAUGGAGGAACACCGGUGGCGAAAGCGGCUCUCUGGUCUGUAACUGACGCUGAGGCUCGAAAGCGUGGGGAGCGAACAGGAUUAGAUACCCUGGUAGUCCACGCCGUAAACGAUGAGUGCUAGGUGUUGGAUCCUUUCCGGGAUUCAGUGCCGCAGCUAACGCAUUAAGCACUCCGCCUGGGGAGUACGACCGCAAGGUUGAAACUCAAAGGAAUUGACGGGGGCCCGCACAAGCGGUGGAGCAUGUGGUUAAUUCGAAGCAACGCGAAGAACCUUACCAGGUCUUGACAUCCCGAUGCUAUUUCUAGAGAUAGAAAGUUACUUCGGUACAUCGGUGACAGGUGGUGCAUGGUUGUCGUCAGCUCGUGUCGUGAGAUGUUGGGUUAAGUCCCGCAACGAGCGCAACCCCUAUUGUUAGUUGCCAUCAUUCAGUUGGGCACUCUAGCGAGACUGCCGGUAAUAAACCGGAGGAAGGUGGGGAUGACGUCAAAUCAUCAUGCCCCUUAUGACCUGGGCUUCACACGUGCUACAAUGGUUGGUACAACGAGUUGCGAGUCGGUGACGGCAAGCUAAUCUCUUAAAGCCAAUCUCAGUUCGGAUUGUAGGCUGCAACUCGCCUACAUGAAGUCGGAAUCGCUAGUAAUCGCGGAUCAGCACGCCGCGGUGAAUACGUUCCCGGGCCUUGUACACACCGCCCGUCACACCACGAGAGUUUGUAACACCCGAAGUCGGUGAGGUAACCUUUUGGAGCCAGCCGCCUAAGGUGGGAUAGAUGAUUGGGGUGAAGUCGUAACAAGGUA